UUUGGUUGUUUUUAUUUGUGGUGUUUGGCUUGGGGUUUGAUCUUGUAGUUGAAGGUUGGUAAUGGUGAAGAUUGCAUACCUCGUAAUGGAUGAUGGAAUUUUAACAAGGAUGUGCUCUUUCAAGUUCAUUGGUUGACAGCGAUGCUAACCAAUUUCUUAUUCUCUAUGGCAAGAGACUCCAUGUGAGCUACUAAGCAGAUUCUAAUGUUGUAUCUACUGAAUGGGAAGUUGAGAGUGAUGAUGAAAGUGAGGAAGAAUCUGAAUGUGGGUUAACAACUUUGGUUGACAUGCCUCUUAACAGUUUUCCAUCUACAG